rnacentral:pre_miRNA from 1 species
UUUUAUCUAUGUGUAUAUUGUGUUCAGCAUCAGGGACAGGUGCGUUUAUCUAUCCGUGGAUUGUUUUCAGCACAUGGGACAGGUGUGUCUAUCU